rnacentral:lncRNA from 1 species
GUGGUGCUCCUGUUGGUUCAGGCUCUGGCGGUGUGAUAGUCUUUUCUGUGGAGUCUGAUGUCUACAGCAAUUUCAAACAAAGUACAUUUUUAGUGGCUGCAGGACAACUCUCAAUAGCAAGGGAAUAAAUAUGUUAAAACAGAGAUGUUCAAAUGUUGGGUGGUAUCUACAUUUUCAUGAAUCCUAGGUGAAAUGAAUAUAAAAAAAGGUAAAAUGUGCACUUAUGAAGUCAUGGUGGGGACAUUUAUUUAGUUAUCUAAUAAUUCAUUAAUACAUUUUAUGCUAUCCCAGAAAGCACUCUUUAUCCCUUAUUCUGGAACCAGAACUUGGCUUUUCCUUGGGGAAACACCCUUCUUCCUCAUCUACUCCGUGUGGUCCAGGCAAACUAUUUCCACCUCCAGACAAGAGCAUGUGACUUAGGCCUGACUAAUCAGAGCAUUGUAUAUGAUUGGCCAGCUGUGAUUGGCUCAGCAUAGCCAAAUGCAGAUAACACUGGAGCUAAUCUCAGAGCUUUGCUGAAAUGAGAGAGAGGCUGGUUCCCUUUCUGUUAGAUCUGAAGCUGUGAAAAUGUAAGACUGGAGCUUCCAGAACCACCAAUAUUUCUAGGGAAAAUCUCCCCGAAAAGGAAGCCAACACAGAGAAAAUCACAGCUGAGAAAUGGAGAGAGAGAGAGAGAGAGAGAGAGAGAGAGAGAGAGAGAGGGACCAGGCAUUGAUGGUAUCAUGCGUGCCUCCUAGAUCUAGCUGUUCCUGGAGCCCUUUUAUGCUUAAGCCAGCUUUGAAGGGGCUACUCCCACUUGCAACCACAUGCGAGUGUUUUCCUGGGGAUGCCCAUUCUUUUCUUCAUAAUUACAUCUACCCUAAUUUUUGGUGUGAAAUUGUCCUUUUGCUUCAUGAAAUGGUGGUAAAAGAGAUGAUUGUUUUAUUAGUUUGGAAUGUAUAUCGUUUUUUGUCAAACUGAAAGGUUUACAAUCCCACAUGCUUCCAAUAAUUUGAUGAGAUGAGGCUGUAAAAUCCAAAAAUCUAGUAAAUGCAGGCUGGGGUAAGAAUAACCAUGUGGAUAUCUUAUUUCUCCAGCUGCAAAAGCAACAAAGGUCCAAAAAAAUAUUUCUCCAGUAUAAGAAAAGCACCAGUUCAAGCAAGGCUGGCUUUGAUGUUGGGGAGAAAAUUUAGAGCAGGGGAGACUGAAUGUUACAUGCCCUGUCCAAAGGGCAACAGUUGCUCUGAUCCAGCCAAGAGAUACCACGUAGGCUUGCAGCCCCAGUGUGGUCAGAGCUUCUGUUGUUUCAAGACAACCUUGAAAUUAAAUUUUAAAAAAUGCAAAAUGUCAACUUUUAAAUAUUGACUUCAAAAGUUUUAAAGCCCUGAUUGUGGCAACUGGCAAACACACUUGACCCACCGGAUACAUGUGUAUAAGCAUGAUUCAUGAAGUUAUGUACUGUACCCAGGUAAAAAGUUCUACAACAAGGUAGCAGCUUUGAUGGAGAAGGCAUCAACUGUAGGAGAACUUUCUUUUCACACCAGUGAAUCAUGCACGCCCCUUAGAAGUAAGCGGGAAGACAAACAGCAGAGACUCCCCGGUCCAGAAGGCCUCCACCGGUGCUCUUCAGAGGGCAGAAGUCCUUGGAGAAAGAAGCAACAGGCAUCCAGUGUACCUUGAGAAGCUCUUCUGUAAUAUAUGUCUUGAACACUUCUGGCAGACCCCAACUGUCAGAGUUGCAGCAAAUGCUAAGAUAUGGAUGUCCAAGUACAAUAGAUAUCCCAGAGCAGAUACUCUCCUUAGAAUGAAACAGAAACUCUCACCACAAUGCUCUUCAGAAAGGCCAGAAACCAGAGAUCC